rnacentral:misc_RNA from 1 species
GCAAGAGGCGGUGGAGGGGAUGGGAUGGCAAUUGGGGGUGGAGAGAAUGACUGGGAAGAAGAUGGGUUGGAUUGUUUUUGGAGAUCAGAGAAGGAUAAGGAAGAGAAACGAGUGUCAUUUGUGUACAAAAGGAAAGUGGUGCAGAUGAGCAAGACAAAGAAAGCGAAAAUGAAAAAGAACUUCUUUUCUUUGAUCAGAUUCUGAACAGAUAACGCCAUUUUUGCUUUCUGUGUGUGAAAUCUUGGAAGAAAGAAUUUAC